ACCAGCCGAUGGAUUUGAUUGUAAGAACUAGAACAGCGUGGGAAAGCUGACCGAAGAUGGUGAUAGUCCAGUAUAGGUAGAAAGCAAUUAAGUUCUUGAGUAGGGCGGAGCACGAGAAAUUCUGUCUGAAAAUGGGGAGACCACUCUCCAAGGCUAAGUACUACUGAGUGACCGAUAGUGAACAAGUACCGUGAGGGAAAGGUGAAAAGCACCCCUAUAAGGGGAGUGAAAAAGAACCUGAAACCGGAUGCCUACAAGCAGUCGGAGGAGCAUUAGGCUCUGACGGCGUACCUUUUGUAUAAUGGGUCAGCGACUUAAUUUAUGUAGCAAGCUUAAGCCGAUAGGUGUAGGCGCAGCGAAAGCGAGUGUUAAUAGCGCGUUAAGUUACAUGGAUUAGACCCGAAACCGAGUGAUCUAGCCAUGAUCAGGUUGAAGGUUGGGUAACACCAACUGGAGGACCGAACCCACUCCCGUUGAAAAGGUAGGGGAUGAAUUGUGGCUAGGGGUGAAAGGCCAAUCAAACUCGGAAAUAGCUGGUUCUCCGCGAAAACUAUUUAGGUAGUGCGGCAAGCGGACACGUUGAGGGGUAGAGCACUGAAAGAGCUAAGGGGGAGCGAUCCUUACUAAACUUUAUCAAACUCCGAAUACUCAACAGUGAUACUUGCCAGACAGACUGUAGGUGCUAAGGUCUACGGUCGAGAGGGAAAGAGCCCAGACCGCCAAUUAAGGUCCCAAAAUUAUGGCUAAGUGGUAAAGGAAGUGAAUUGUCCAAAACAGUCAGGAGGUUGGCUUAGAAGCAGCCAUCCUUUAAAGAAAGCGUAAUAGCUCACUGAUCUAAACAAGACGAUUUGCGCCGAAGAUGUAACGGGGCUAAAGCCAUAUACCGAAGUUGCGGAAUUGCACGUAAGUGUAAUUGGUAGCGGAGCGUUCUGUAAGCCUGCGAAGGUGUUCCGUAAGGAAUGCUGGAGGUAUCAGAAGUGAGAAUGCUGACAUGAGUAGCGAAAAGAAGUGUGAGAGACACUUCCGCUGAAAGUCCAAGGUUUCCUGCGUAAAGCUAAUCUGCGCAGGGUUAGUCGGCCCCUAAGGCGAGGCAGAGAUGCGUAGUCGAUGGGAAUCAGGUUAAUAUUCCUGAACCAACUAGGAAGUGACGGAUUCAGUAAAUUGUAUGUCCUUAUUGGAUUGGAUGUGCAGUGAAUGAGUCCCGGGAAAUAGCCCUAGUAUAGACCGUACCCGAAACCGACACAGGUGGACAGGUAGAGAAUACCAAAGCGCUUGAGAGAACUAUGUUGAAGGAACUAGGCAAAAUACUUGCGUAACUUCGGGAUAAGCAAGCCCCAUUUCUGGGCAACCAGAGGUGGGGGGCACAUACUAGGGGGUAGCGACUGUUUACUAAAAACACAGGGCUCUGCUAAAUUGAAAGAUGAAGUAUAGGGUCUGACGCCUGCCCGGUGCUGGAAGGUUAAGGAGAGAUGUGCAAGCAUUGAACUGAAGCCCCAGUAAACGGCGGCCGUAACUAUAACGGUCCUAAGGUAGCGAAAUUCCUUGUCGGGUAAGUUCCGACCUGCACGAAUGGCGUAACGACUUCCCCGCUGUCUCCAACAUAGACUCAGCGAAAUUGAAUUCUGAGUUAAGAUGCUCAGUACCCGCGGUUAGACGGAAAGACCCCGUGAACCUUUACUAUAGCUUUGCAGUGGUAUUAGGUGACAAAUGUGUAGGAUAGGUGGGAUGCUAUGAAGUUAUGACGCUAGUUGUAAUGGAGCAGACGUUGAAAUACCACCCUUUUGUUAUUUGAUAUCUAACCUGCUUCCGUUAUCCGGAAGAGGGACCCUGCAUGGUGGGUAGUUUGACUGGGGCGGUCGCCUCCCAAAGAGUAACGGAGGCGCGCAAAGGUUGGCUCAGAUUGGUCGGAAAUCAAUCGUUGAGUGCAAUGGCAUAAGCCAGCCUGACUGCGAGAGCGACAGUUCGAGCAGAGACGAAAGUCGGUCAUAGUGAUCCGGUGGU
rnacentral:rRNA from 1 species